AGCUUUGCACAGUGGUAAUAUCAUAGUCAAUGAAGGUUUACUGAGGUGUGAUUAUUGCUAUUUGAAAACGUUACCCAAUACCCCGUGAAGUCUGUUUUUUGAUGGACUUGGCAAUUUUUUACUGUUUCUGAGUAGA